GACCAUCGACGAAUGUUAAUUACUGCGCAUUAUUGAAACGUAUAAUACUGUUUAGGUAAUAUAUUAAUUUUUCACAGUUGACUACUCGACACACACUCGUAUUUUAAUCGGUUCGGCCUGCAGUCUUAAGGCGAGUCGAUUGUAAAUGAUUAAUAAUAAUACGAUGGGCUCUCGCUCCAUUUGGUCGAAUAUAAUCGAAUGUUCAUUGUUUUAGACGAGGUUUUCUAGAGUUUGCUCGAAGAUAAUUAAAUAUUUAAGUAAUAUUGUGUUCAGCAGUUAGCAUUGCUAAAUAAGGUAGUUUUUGUUUUUUCUUGCGUAACUAAAGGAACCCAGUAGUCAACAAAAAACUAAAACCUAAAACUUAAAAUUCUCAGUAUUGAGUUGAUGUUGCGACUGUUAUAUUUUAUUUAAAACUUAAACAAAAACACAUUCUACGGAAAACGAUUUUAGCUGUCACAACAUUUUAUAUUGUUAUACAUUAGGUUACCUACAAAAUUA